GGAUGAUCUGGUUUCCACUCCAAUAAACGCAUUCUCCACAUUUCAUUGUUGAAAGAAGUUUGUCACACCCCAAACCCAACUUCUAGGGCCACCCUAUUUGAUUUCCUAAAAAGAAAAGCCCAUGUGUUUUUAUCUUCGCCUUUCUCACAGCCACCAUUUACGUCUCCAUCUUAAGCCCGAAACUAAAGUCACCGGCCAUCAUCGUUUUUAAGUCCGUGAGGCAUUGUUGUCACUGAUUCUGUAGUGGUGAUCGUAUGUUGGUGAGAGAUAGGAAGAGAUCACCAAGAGUGAAAGAGAGUUUCGGAGGUCACGUCCACCAAAGCUACCGCUCACCAUCGUUCAUCACUGGUUUGAUUAGGCCGUCAGAUCUGAAGGAGUCAAAUCGAGAAUUUGGUAUCGUUGGAUAGAUCUUGCUGCAAGAAAUGAGCAGAAACUUACGGUUCCUUGAUACUAGGUAAACUCCAUCCGCAAAUCAAGUUACAACUUGACCAAAAGUCAUUGUUUUUUGAAUAUAGAAAAUAAGUAAGUUAAAAUAAAAGUUUCAGAUUCGAGUUGGGGUUUUGUGAAGCUUCUUAUCAUCGAACCAAUA